rnacentral:rRNA from 1 species
UUGGCCUUGACAUACUAAGAACUUUCCAGAGAUUGGAUUGGUGCCUUCGGGAACUUAGAUACAGGUGCUGCAUGGCUGUCGUCAGCUCGUGUCGUGAGAUGUUGGUUAAGUCCGCAACGAGCGCAACCCUUUUUCCUUAUUUGCCAGCGGGUAAUGCCGGGAACUUUAAGGAUACUGCCAGUGACAAACUGGAGGAAGGCGGGGACGACGUCAAGUCAUCAUGGCCCUUACGGCCAGGGCUACACACGUGCUACAAUGGUCGGUACAAAGGGUUGCUACCUCGCGAGAGGAUGCUAAUCUCAAAAAGCCGAUCGUAGUCCGGAUCGCAGUCUGCAACUCGACUGCGUGAAGUCGGAAUCGCUAGUAAUCGCGGAUCAGAAUGCCGCGGUGAAUACGUUCCCGGGCCUUGUACACACCGCCCGUCACACCAUGGGAGUUUGUUGCACCAGAAGUAGGUAGUCUAACCGCAAGGAGGACGCUUACCACGGUGUGGCCGAUGACUGGGGUGAAGUCGUAACAAGGUAGGCGUAGAUGA